rnacentral:rRNA from 1 species
AUACGUAGGUGACAAGCGUUAUCCGGAUUUACUGGGCGUAAAGGGCGUGUAGGCGGUCUUGCAAGUCAGAAGUGAAAUUCCUGAGCUCAACUCGGGCGCUGCUUCUGAAACUGCAGGACUUGAGUGCUGGAGGGGAUAGCGGAAUUCCUAGUGGAGCGGUAAAAUGCGCAGAUAUUAGGAAGAACACCGGUGGCGAAGGCGGCUAUCUGGACGGUAACUGACGCUGAGGCGCGAAAGCGUGGGGAGCAAACAGGAUUAGAUACCCGGGUAGUCCACGCCGUAAACGAUGAAUACUAGGUGUAGGGGGACUGACCCCUUCCGUGCCGCAGUUAACACAAUAAGUAUUCCGCCUGGGGAGUACGGCCGCAAGGUUGAAACUCAAAUGAAUUGACGGGG